rnacentral:rRNA from 1 species
UACGGAGGAUGCAAGCGUUAUCCGGAAUGAUUGGGCGUAAAGCGUCCGCAGGUGGCUAUGUAAGUCUGCUGUUAAAGAGUCUGGCUCAACCAGAUAAAGGCAGUGGAAACUACAUGGCUAGAGUGCGUUCGGGGCAGAGGGAAUUCCUGGUGUAGCGGUGAAAUGCGUAGAGAUCAGGAAGAACACCGGUGGCGAAGGCGACUACCUGGCCUGUUCUUGACGCUGAGGCGCGAAAGCUAGGGGAGCAAACGGG